rnacentral:rRNA from 1 species
GGGGAAACCCACAUGAGAAUACCUCAUGUAUCCAUACGCCAAUCCAUAACGUAUGGAGGGGAACCCGGUGAACUGAAACAUCUAAGUAGCCGGAGGAAGAGAAAGAAACAUCGAUUCCGUAAGUAGCGGCGAGCGAACGCGGAAGAGCCCAAACCAUGGUGCGUGCACCAUGGGGUUCGGACUGCAUAAUUGAUUCAAUGAUCCUAGCAGAAUGGUUUUGGGAAAGCCAGCCAAAGAGGGUGAAAGCCCCGUAAGCGAAAGGAAAGUUGACAUGGCAGGAUCCAGAGUACAUCGAGACACGUGGAACCUUGAUGGAAGGAGCGGGGACCACCCCGUAAGGCUAAAUACUACUUAGUGACCGAUAGCGCAUAGUACUGUGAAGGAAAGGUGAAAAGGACCCCGGGAGGGGAGUGAAAGAGAACCUGAAACCCUGUGUUUACAAACUGUCGGAGGGCUUUCUAUGCCCGACGGCGUACUUUUUGUAGAACGGUCCGGCGAGUUGUGCAUACUGGCAAGGUUAAGGGAUAAAGUCCCGGAGCCGCAGGGAAACCAAGCCUUAAUAGGGCGCGAUAGUCAGUGUGUGCAGACCCGAAACCGGGUGACCUAUCCAUGUCCAGGUUGAAGUUGCCGUAAAAGGCAAUGGAGGACCGAACGCACAUCCGUUGAAAAGGGUGGCGAUGAGGUGUGGAUAGCGGAGAAAUUCCAAUCGAACCCGGAGAUAGCUGGUUCUCCUCGAAAUAGCUUUAGGGCUAGCCUCGUUUUAGUCUGGUGGAGGUAGAGCACUGAAUUCCCAAGGGGGCGUCAAAGCUUACUAAGGGAUAUCAAACUCCGAAUGCCAUACAGAUGAUGAACGGGAGUCAGACUAUACGAGAUAAGUUGGAUAGUCAAAAGGGAAAGAGCCCAGACCCGCAGCUAAGGUCCCAAAGUGCAUGUUAAGUGGAAAAGGAUGUGGGAUCUCUAAGACAACUAGGAUGUUGGCUCAGAAGCAGCCAUUCAUUCAAAGAGUGCGUAACAGCUCACUAGUCGAGAGGUCCUGCGCCGAAAAUGUCCGGGGCUAAAACAUGCCACCGAAGCUUGGGAAUGACAUAGUCAUUGGUAGAGGAGCAUUCUUAACGCGAAGAAGCAGUACCGGAAGGAGCUGUGGAGUGCUGAGAAGAGAGAAUGCCGGAAUGAGUAGCGAGAACAAGGUGAGAAUCCUUGUGGCCGAAUAUCCAAGGUCUCCAGGGUAAAGCUGAUCUGCCCUGGGAAAGUCGGGACCUAAGGUGAGGCUGAAAAGCGUAGCCGAUGGACAACAGGUUGAUAUUCCUGUACCGCAUGGUAACAGAACUGUGGGGACACGGGAGGGAAACAUGGGCCGGAAAUGGAAAGUCCGGUACAAACGGGGUAGUCGCACAGCAGGCAAAUCCGCUGUGCAUGAGACGAAGCCGUGAUGUGGAGCGAACUAAAGUAGUGAAGCAUGUGCCCCCUCCUGUCGAGAAAAGCCGCUAUUGUUUGCCAUGCGCCCGUACCGUAAACCGACACAGGUGGAUGAGGAGAGAAUCCUAAGGCCGGCGGGAGAAGCAUUGUCAAGGAACUCGGCAAAAUGACCCCGUAACUUCGGGAGAAGGGGUGCCCACGCAAGUGGGCCGCAGAGAAUAGGCUCAAGCAACUGUUUAGCAAAAACACAGGUCUAUGCGAAACCGUAAGGUGAUGUAUAUGGGCUGACGCCUGCCCGGUGCUGGAAGGUUAAGAGGAGAGGUUAGCGCAAGCGAAGCUUUGAAUCCAAGCCCCAGUAAACGGCGGCCGUAACUAUAACGGUCCUAAGGUAGCGAAAUUCCUUGUCGGGUAAGUUCCGACCCGCACGAAAGGCGUAAUGAUUUGAGCGCUGUCUCGACAAUGCACCCGGUGAAAUUGAAGUACCAGUGAAGAUGCUGGUUACCCGCGCCAGGACGGAAAGACCCCAUGGAGCUUUACUCCAGUUUGGUACUGGAGCUUGGUAUUGCAUGUACAGGAUAGGUGGGAGCUUAUGAACCUGGGACGCCAGUCUCAGGGGAGGCGCUGUUGGGAUACCACCCUUGCAAUAUCGGGUUUCUAACCAGCCGCCGUGAUCCGGCGGUGGGACAAUGCCAGGCGGGGAGUUUGACUGGGGCGGUCGCCUCCGAAAGGGUAUCGGAGGCGCCCAAAGGUUCCCUCAGAAUGGACGGAAACCAUUCGAAGAGUGCAAAGGC